AGUGUGAAGGCUUUUUUUUUUUUGUCGAAGGUUCCCCAUGAUUGGCUCUCCAAAUAGAUCGUAGCCAAUAGCGUUCCUUUUCAGGAAGACUUCAAAGGAUAGCCAAUAAGAUGCAUUAGAGGCGUUGCUCGGGAUUAUGUGGCUCGUGGGCUCUUUGCCACGUUAGUUCACGCGUUUGACUCGCGUGCCUGUUCAAAUGUUGCCGGCGUUUCUUGCAGUGAAUGGCGUUAACUGUAAAGAAAAGAAAAAAAAAAAAUAUUUACAUUACAUUUAUUCAUUUAGUAGACGCUUUUCUUCAGAGCGGCGUACAAGCGCAAGGGCAUUUCACACAAGACGAAAGAUUAUAGAUCCAAACAAACAGCUGCCGAAGUCAAGGAUGGAAUUCACAAGUCAAGGAUGGAAUUUUCCCCAGCAUCUGAAGAAAACGCUCGACGGUUUUAAACCUGUUUUUAAAUGCAGAAUCACAAAAAGUUGACUUUGACUGAUGAGACUGUAAAAGAUGUUUGGAGAGAAGCUUCCCUGACGUGAACAGGCCCCCCUGACGACAUCCACCCACCGCACAUGUUCUACACUUCUGUCCUCCAGCAACAGGACAUGUGCUCGUGUGGUGCAUUACACCUCAGGACAACAGAAACCCAUCAUUUUGUUACCUGUACCAUUUACAAACUUGUAAGGAUUUGUGUUACUAGAAAAGAACAGUGGAUUAUGUGGUGUUGGUGUUACAUAAAAAGGCAUCAGAUACACUGCCUGGCCAAAAAAAAAGUCACCACCUGGAUUUAACUAAGCAAAUAGGUAAGAGCCUCCCAUUGGAUAAUUAUUGCAGUGAUUAAUAUGUUUCAGCUGGCAACAAGUUAUUUAACCUUAACUGAUGGAAUGAGUAGCUUCUCAUUUCUGAAACAACCAUGUUGGAAGAUGUAUCCUGUGCUUGUGGGAAAGAUAUUACUCUAUUUCAGAAGGGUCAAAUUCCUGGCCUGCAUCAAGCAAACAAAAAACUAAGGAGGUUGCUGAAACUACUAAAAUUGGGUUAAGAACUGUUCAAUGCAUUAUUAAAAGCUGGAAGGGUAGUGGUGAACCAUCAUUUUCAAGGAAGAAAUGCGGUGAGAAAAAAAAAAAUCUUGAAUGCUUGUGAUUGGAGAUCACUUAAACAUUUGGUGAAAUCAGAUUUUUUUUUUUUUUUUUUUUUUUUCAACAAACUAUAGCACUUAUGGCUAUGUUUCUUAGUGAAAGUAAGAGCGUUUCCACAUGCACAAUGGGAUGAGAACUCAAGGAAUUGGGACUAAACAGCUGUGUAGCCUUAAGAAAAACCACUUAUCAGGGGGAGAAAGGUUUGUUUGCUAGGGAGUAUAAAGAUUGGACUCUGGAGCAAUUGAAAAACAUCAUGUGAUCUGAGUCCAGAUUUACCCUGUUCCAGAGUGAUGAGUGCAUCAGGGUAAGAAGAGAGGUGGAUGAAGUGAUGCACCCAUCAUGCCUACCGU
rnacentral:lncRNA from 1 species